ACAGACCCUGGUUCAGAGGUCUAAGACACUGCAUCUCAGUGCUAGAGGCGUCACUACAGACCCUGGUUCAGAGGUCUAAGACACUGCAUCUCAGUGCUAGAGGCGUCACUACAGACCCUGGUUCAGAGGUCUAAGACACUGCAUCUCAGUGCUAGAGGCGUCACUACAGACCCUGGUUCAGAGGUCUAAGACACUGCAUCUCAGUGCUAGAGGCGUCACUACAGACCCUGGUUCAGAGGUCUAAGACACUGCAUCUCAGUGCUAGAGGCGUCACUACAGACCCUGGUUCAGAGGUCUAAGACACUGCAUCUCAGUGCUAGAGGCGUCACUACAGACCCUGGUUCAGAGGUCUAAGACACUGCAUCUCAGUGCUGGAGGCGUCACUACAGACCCUGGUUCAGAGGUCUAAGACACUGCAUCUCAG